GUUACUUUAGUUAAUAGGAUCCUAAACCCUUCAUUAGUACCUUUUCAAGGGUCUUUUGGAGUUGAGGGCGGAUCUUAUUAACUCUUGUACGAUUGUUAAACAUUCAAGUGUUUCCUAACUGAGUAAGGGACAUUUUGGAUGGUGGCUAGGUCUGAGUAAGCGCCUGGGACCAAAAUUGGACUUCAAAGGGUUAUAGACUGUGCGUAAGCACGAUAGGGGUUUCAACCUCCGUAGCCCAUUACAAACGAAGUCCUACCAGCCCGUUUCACUUCGACCUGGCCAUCCAAGUCUUCUGAAACCACGGAAACAUUUGUAUCAAGACAUUCAUACCUAUUUAUCAUUGGUUUACCACUUAAGAUUCGAGUUUGAAAAUUUAUAAAACUUAUAACUGUUAACUCAAACAGAUCGUUGUAAUUUAGAACCUUUGAAAAAUGUUGUUUACUUAGUUCUAAGUCCUUUUAUGUUUGAGCUCGUUUUUAAAUUUUAGUUACUUUGUUUAUGUUUAAUUUUUAUUCUUAUCUUGUUAUUUCAUUUCUGUAGGGUUAUGAAUGUUCGAUAAGGAAAUUCGUGUUCCUGGAUCAACUGACGCAGCUUUCAAGAACUUGACGGAGCGGUUACAGCGCNNN
rnacentral:lncRNA from 1 species